GAUCCUGGCUCAGGAUGAACGCUGGCGGCGUGCCUAACACAUGCAAGUCGAGCGAUUCUCUUCGGAGAAGAGCGGCGGACGGGUGAGUAACGCGUGGGUAACCUGCCCUGUACACACGGAUAACAUACCGAAAGGUAUGCUAAUACGGGAUAAUAUAUUUUGAUCGCAUGGUCGAAAUAUCAAAGCUCCGGCGGUACAGGAUGGACCCGCGUCUGAUUAGCUAGUUGGUGAGGUAAUGGCUCACCAAGGCGACGAUCAGUAGCCGACCUGAGAGGGUGAUCGGCCACAUUGGAACUGAGACACGGUCCAAACUCCUACGGGAGGCAGCAGUGGGGAAUAUUGCACAAUGGGCGAAAGCCUGAUGCAAGCAACGCCGCGUGAGCGAUGAAGGCCUUCGGGUCGUAAAGCUCUGUCCUCAAGGAAGAUAAUGACGGUACUUGAGGAGGAAGCCCCGGCUAACUACGUGCCAGCAGCGGC
rnacentral:rRNA from 1 species